GUGCUCACUUCUGCCGCACACAUACCAAAAUCAGAAUGACCCAGAAAAGAUUAGCAAGGCCCCUGCACAAGGAUGGCACACGGAUUCAGGAGGCAUUCCAUGUUUUU
ensembl:snRNA U6 U6 spliceosomal RNA